UUGGAGCUAGCUGGUUCUCCUCGAAAUGCGUUGAGGCGCAGCGGUAUAUUAUGAACUUUCCGGGGGUAAAGCUCUGUUUAGGUGCGGGCUGCGAAAGCGGUACCAAUCUUUUGCAAACUAAGAAUACCGGAAAUGAUUUCAAUCUACCAGUGAGACUGCGGGGGACAAGCUUCGUAGUCAAGAGGGAAACAGCCCAGACCACCAGCUAAGGCUCCUAAAUAAAGACUAAGUGGCAAAGGAGGUGAAAAUGCAGUGACAAUCAGGAGGUUUGCCUAGAAGCAGCCAUCCUCUAAGGAGUGCGUAAUAGCUCACUGAUCAAGCGUUUUUGCGCCGAAAAUGACCGGAACUAAGUUUUUUGCCGAAGCUGUGGAUAUAGACACUUAAAGUGCUAUGUGGUAGAGGAGCGUUCCGCAUGGGGGGAAGCCAAGCGCGUAAGCAGCGGUGGACAGUGCGGAAGUGAGAAUGUCAGAUUGAGUAACGAAAACAUUGGUGAGAAUCCAAUGCCCCGAAAACUUAAGGGUUCCUCUGCAAGGCUCGUCCGCAGAGGGUUAGUCAGGACCUAACAUGAGGCCGAAAGGCGUAAUGGAUGGCAAGAAGGUUUAUAUUCCUUCACUAUUGUUUUCUUAGUCCUGAGGGACGAACAAAUGCACACCUUUUUUGUGUCCAGGCUUGGCAGCUUGGAAGUCACACACUAAUGGCUGUACAUUUUUUCCAAGAAAAGCUCAUUCGACUUUGAGAAAACAAUACCUGUACCGUAAACCGACACAGGUGAGUGGGUUGAAUAAACUAAGGGGAGCGAGAUAACUCUCUCUAAGGAACUCGGCAAAUUGGCUCUGUACCUUCGGAAGAAAGAGUGCCCUGUAAAGGGCCGCAGUGAAGAGAUCCAGGCGACUGUUUACCAAAAACACAGGUCUCCGCAAAGUCGUAAGACGACGUAUGGGGGCUGACACCUGCCCAGUGCCAGAAGGUUAAAGAAGUUGGUCAAUCUCCGGAUGAAGCUAACAACUGAAGCCCUGGUGAACGGCGGCAGUAACUAUAACUGUCCUAAGGUAGCGAAAUUCCUUGUCGGGUAAGUUCCGACCCGCACGAAAGGUGUAACGAUCUGGAUACUGUCUCAGAGAGAGACUCGGUGAAAUAAAAAUAUCUGUGAAGAUGCGGAUUACCUGCACACGGACAGAAAGACCCUAUGAAGCUUUACUGUAACCUGGAAUUGCUCUCAAGCUUAUUUCGCGCAGCUUAGGUGGGAGACGUUGAACCCUUUCUUCCGGGAAAGGGUGAGUCAUCAGUGAGAUACCACUCUUGGUAAGCUAGAGCGCUCAUUUUUAACCGUUAUCCGGUAAAAAGACAGUUUCAGGCGGGCAGUUUGACUGGGGCAGUCACCUCCCAAAAGGUAAUGGAGGUGUACAAAGGUUCCCUCAGGCUGGACGGAAAUCAGCCAUAGAGUGUAAAAGCAUAAGGGAGCUUGACUGCGAGACGGACAUGUCAAGCAGAGACGAAAGUCGGUUUUAGUGAUCCGACGGU
rnacentral:rRNA from 1 species